UACGUAGGUGGCAAGCGUUGUCCGGAUUUAUUGGGCGUAAAGAGCGCGCAGGCGGUUCGUUAAGUCCGAGGUGAAAUCUCCCGGCUCAACUGGGAGGGGUCUUCGGAUACUGGCGGACUUGAGGAGUGCAGAGGUGAGUGGAAUUCUCGGUGUAGUGGUGAAAUGCGUAGAUAUCGAGAGGAACACCAGUGGCGAAGGCGGCUUCCUGGCCUGUUCUUGACGCUGAGGCGCGAAAGCUAGGGGAGCAAACGGG
rnacentral:rRNA from 1 species